CUCCGCCUGCAUUCUGCCCCUGUGGAGGAGACCUCUGGUUCUGCAACUGCCUGGGAGAGUCUAAGUCGGUGAUGGAGAGUUAACUGGCCUGGUGGACACAUACCUACCAUGUCCUGCAAUCUAGCUUAAAGCUUACACUUUAAGAAACAGAAUAACAAGAAUAGAUUCUAGAGCUGAGUUUAAACCCUGGCUCCACCACUGAUAAGCUGUGUGACCUUGGGCAAGUUGUUAGCUGGCACCCAGACACAUUGAGAAGAUGGUCAUCUGAAAGCCAGGAAAAGAGACUGCUCCAGAACCUGACCAUGCUGGCACCCUAAUCUCAGAUUUCCACCCUCCAGAACUGUGAGAAAAUACAUGUCUGAUUUUUAAGCCCCCAA
rnacentral:lncRNA from 10 species